UACGUAGGGUGCAAGCGUUAUCCGGAAUUAUUGGGCGUAAAGAGCUCGUAGGCGGUUUGUCGCGUCUGCUGUGAAAACUGGAGGCUCAACCUCCAGCCUGCAGUGGGUACGGGCAGACUAGAGUGCGGUAGGGGAGAUUGGAAUUCCUGGUGUAGCGGUGGAAUGCGCAGAUAUCAGGAGGAACACCGAUGGCGAAGGCAGAUCUCUGGGCCGUUCCUGACACUGAUGCACGAAAGCGUGGGGAGCAAACCGGG
rnacentral:rRNA from 1 species